GCCAGUGAUGAUUCUUUUAUUCGACUGAAAUGCAAAUCUUUGUAUCUGCAUUUUGUUGAAAUUCAUAAGAACUUGACUAGGACGGUCUGAGGC
rnacentral:snoRNA from 1 species